GUCCGGCUGGGGGCUUUAUUAGGGGGCACCGGGGUCUGCUUUCCGACUCCCUUCCGACUCCGCGCCUGCGCAGGAAGCGAUUUGGGGAGUGUUGUGAAUUCCGAGGGCUCCACACUUAAGAGGUUGUACACUCACCUGUCUACCUGGACUCCAAUUUCCAUAUUUCCAGCCACUUGAGGACUGAGAGGUGGAUGAUAAACCCUGUCAUAGUGGAGCAAGUUCAGGUGUUUAACCGCUGUUAUGGGGGAUCUGCCUUUUCUCCCUCUUCUUUCUUACUUCCAUAAGUAUGUAUGUGCAGAGAUUGAAAAAUAACCUUGAGAGAGUCCAUCCAUCUAACUCCAGGAAACAUUGCAGCGUUAUAAGAGAAAUUAUAGACUAUUUGUUGAAGCUCAGCAUGUCCAUCUCCCUGCUUUGAAGAAGGCAAGCUUCAUUAAAACCAACAUCUUACUUGGCCUAAAACAUCUUUGGAGUAGGAGAUUUAUGGCCUUUCUGGGAAAGUAGUUCUAAUUUUUAUAAACCUUAGAAUUAAGAAGUUCUUUUGUAAAUACAAUUAUAAUUCUUUCUUCUCGA
rnacentral:lncRNA from 1 species